rnacentral:rRNA from 1 species
GAUGAACGCUGGCGGCGUGCCUAAUACAUGCAAGUCGAGCGAACAGACGAGGAGCUUGCUCCUCUGACGUUAGCGGCGGACGGGUGAGUAACACGUGGAUAACCUACCUAUAAGACUGGGAUAACUUCGGGAAACCGGAGCCAAUACCGGAUAAUAUAUUGAACCGCAUGGUUCAAUAGUUAAAGACGGUUUUGCUGUCACUUAUAGAUGGAUCCGCGCCGCAUUAGCUAGUUGGUAAGGUAACGGUUUACCAAGGCAACGAGGCGUAGCCGACCUGAGAGGGUGAUCGGCCACACUGGAACUGGGACAGGGUCCAGACUCCUACGGGAGGCAGCAGUAGGGGAUCUUCCGCAAUGGGCGAAAGCCUGACGGAGCAACGCCGCGUGAGUGAUGAAGGUCUUCGGAUCGUAAAACUCUGUUAUUAGGGAAGAACAAAUGUGUAAGUAACUAUGCACGUCUUGACGGUACCUAAUCAGAAAGCCACGGCUAACUACGUG